rnacentral:rRNA from 1 species
CAAGUCGAGUGCGCGUUUCCGUAGCAAUACGGAAAUGGCGCACGGCGCACGGGUGCGUAACACGUGGGUAAUCUGCCCUUCGAUGGGGAAUAACUCGCCGAAAGGCUAGCUAAUUCCGCAUAACAUUCCUUGGACUCCGGUCCGAGGAUUCAAAGGCGUAAGUCGUCGGAGGUGGAGCCCGCGCACGAUUAGCUAGUUGGUAGGGUAAUGGCCUACCAAGGCUAUGAUCGUUAGCUGGUCUGAGAGGAUGGCCAGCCACACUGGAACUGAGACACGGUCCAGACUCCUACGGGAGGCAGCAGUGGGGAAUCUUGCACAAUGGGCGAAAGCCUGAUGCAGCGACGCCGCGUGGGGGAUGAAGCUUCUCGGAGUGUAAACCCCUUUCGACCGGGACGAAUACCUCGCAAGAGGGGUGACGGUACCGGUAUAAGAAGCCCCGGCUAACUACGUGCCAGCAGCCGCGGUAAGACGUAGGGGGCCAGCGUUGCUCGGAAUUACUGGGUGUAAAGGGUUCGUAGGCGGUGUGGCAAGUCGGGAGUGAAAUCUCUGGGCUCAACCCAGGGGCUGCUUCCGAAACUGCCGUGCUAGAGUGUGGGAGAGGCGCGUGGAAUUGCAGGUGUAGCGGUGAAAUGCGUAGAUAUCUGCAGGAACACCCGUGGCGAAAGCGGCGCGCUGGACCACUACUGACGCUGAGGAACGAAAGCUAGGGGAGCAAACAGGAUUAGAUACCCUGGUAGUCCUAGCCCUAAACGAUCAGGACUUGGGGUGCCACCCGUUCGGGUGUCGUCCCGGAGCUAACGCGUUAAGUCCUGCACCUGGGGAGUACGGUCGCAAGACUGAAACUCAAAGGAAUUGACGGGGGCCC